AGUGCGGGGCGGGCGGCUCCGGGGGGUCUUCAGGCUCCGGGCACAGCCAUGCGCCCGCCGCGUUCUCUGGAGACGCUCGCUCUCGGAGGGACCCUGCAAUUGCCCGAGCCCGAGAGUGGGCGCUGCCUGAAAGUUUGUCCCUGGGCGCUUCGCUGGCCUCAUCCGGUCUCGGCCCUGUUCUGGGUCUGGCGCCGUUCCCUUUGUUGGGGAAAGUGGUCUAGGAGACCAAGGCAGCGUGCUGGGUGGCAGAGAAUGAUUUGUGGCUUCUGAUUCUGACAUAUGUCGUUGAGGAGGGGAGGGAUGACUGCCCCUGUUUUACUUAUGGAGAACCUGGGGCCAGAACUGUUUUCCCAGGAUGACACAGGCGGUGUAUACAGAGCUCUAACUGUCCUGUUCCAUCCAAAGGGGGAAAACCAAGAAGCACUUGUGAAGUUAACAUUUCAGAGACAGAGGAUCACUAAAAGGCUGAGACCUAAUCAUAGGACUGUGAUCACUCUUCUGUCCUUUGCCACCUUACUAUGACAUUACUAUAGGGCCUACUAACUGCAGUUCCUCUUACCCAGUACAUCAUGUCUGAUGUCAAGAAAAAAAAAUUUACAAGUCAUACCAAAAGGCAAAACACAAAGUUUGAAGAAAAAGAGCCAGCAUCAGACCCAGACUCAGAUAUGGCAGGAGUGUUAGACUUAUCAGACUGCGAAUUUAAAACAACUACAACUAAUAUACUAAGGGCUCUAAUGAAUAAAGUAGACAGCAUGCAAGAACUCAUUAAGCAGAGAGAUGGAAACCCUAAGAAAGAAUAAAAAGAAAGGCUAGAGAUCAGAAACACUGUUAUAGUGAUGAAAAAUGCCUUUGAUAGGCCCAUGAGUAUAAUGGACAUGGCUGAAAAAAGAAUCUCUAACCUUGAGGAUAUAUCAAUAGAAACUUCCAUGACAGAAAAGCAAAGAACAAAGAGACUGAAAAAGUGAAACAGACUAUUCAAGAACUGUGUGACAACUACAAAAAAAAAUAAUAAUAAUAACAUACAUAUAAUGGGGAUGCAAGAAAGAGAAGAGAAACAAAGAGAAGAGAAAGAAACAGAAAAAAUAUUUAAAAUAAUAGUAGCUUAAGCAACAUAGGGAGACCCCAUCUCUACAAGAAAAUUAAAAAAUUAGGGGGGAGUGGUGCACACCUCUGGUCCCAUCUACUCAGUGGGGUGAGGUGAAAGGAGCAUGUAAGCCCAGGAGGUCAAAUCUGCAGUGAGCCAUGAUUGCACCACUGCACUCCAGCCUGGGUGACACAUAAAAAGAUGUGGUGGCACACACCUGUAGUCCCAAGUACUUGGGAGGCGGAGGCAGGAGGAUCGCUUGAGUCUGUACAGGAGUUCCAGGCCGCAGUGCACUAUGCCGGUUGGGUGUCUGCACUAAGUUUGGCAUUAGUAUGGUGACCUCCGGGGAAUGGGGGACCACCAGGUUGCCUAAGGAGGGGAGAAUUGGCCCAGGUCAGAAACAGAGCAGGUCAAAAUUCCCUUGCUGACCACACCUGUGAAAGGCCACUGCACUCCAGCCUGACCAACACAGCGAGACCCCACCUUUUAAAUAAAUAAACAAAAAAAGAAUAAUGACAGAGAUUUUCACCAAAUUAAUAUCAGGCACCAAACCAUAGAUCCAGGAAGCUCUGUGAACACAAACCAGAAUAAAUGCCAAAAAACUCUACCCAGGUAUAGCAUAUUCAAACUAGAAAUCAAAGAUAAAUAAAACACUACUGGAGGCCAAGGCAGGUUGACCAGAGGUCAAGGUGGGUGUAUCACUUGAGGUCAGGAGUUCGAGCCAGCCUGGCCAACAUGGCAAAACCUCAUCACUACCAAAAACACAAAAAUUAGCUGGACGUAAUGGGGGGUACCUGUAAUCCCAGCUACUUGGGAGGCUGAGACAGGAGAAUCACUUGAACCCAGGAGGUGAAGGUUGCAAGGUUGCAGUGAGCUGACAUUGCACCACUGUACUGCAGCCUGGUGACAAAGCAAGACUCUAUUCCAAACAAACAAAGAAACAAACAAACAAAAACUAUUGAAAGAAGCCAGAGGAAAAGCCACCUUACCUAUAGGGAGCAAAGAUCAGGAUAACAUCCACCUUCUCCUCAGAAACCAUGCAAACAAGAAGAGUGUGAAGUGAAAUAUUUAACAUUUGAGAGAAAAAAAUAAACAACCUGGAAUUCUGUACCCUGUAAAAUUAUUCCUCAAAACUGAAGAAGAAAUACAGACUUUCUCAGACAAACAAAAAUUGAGGGAAUUUAUUGUUAGUACAUGUGCCUUGUAAGAAAUACCAAAAGAAGUUCUUCCAAGGGAAAGAAAAACAUACAAGUCAGAAACUUGGAUCUAUAUAAAGAAAGAGAGCACUGAAAAAGGAAUGAGUGAAGAUAAAAUAUUCUGGAGGCUGGGAAGUGCAAAAUCCAGGAGCCAUUAGUUUCAUUGUCAGGUGAGUGUCUGGUCUCUGUUUCCAAGAUGUCACCUUGAAGGCUGCAUCUUCCAGAGAGGAGGAGUGCUGUGUCCUCACAUGGCAGGAGACCGAAGGGUGAAAUGAGUCUAACUUCCUCCAUCAUGCCUUUUUCUAAGCAUAUCUAAUCCCAUUCAUGAAGGCAGAGCCCUCAUAACCUAAUCACCUCCAAAAGGCCCCACCUCUUAAUACUAUCACAUUUGUAAUAUUUGAUUUCUGGAGGGGAUAUACUUUCAAACCAUAGCAGAUGCUCAUGAAACUAGAAACAGUGGCUAAUGCCAGAGAAAGAAGCUGAGCAUCUGGGAAGUCUUACUUGUGGAUUUUACAUUAUAUGUUCCAUUCCCACAUGUAAAUACAUGAGUUAAUUGAAAUGGAAGAAAAUGAAGAAAGAUGGCGAAUUGUGUCAUGGAACAACGGACAGCAGUCAUAACAUAAUGGGUGAAAACAAAGCUCAAGUACAUGAGGAUGAUUAUAUCUUUAAUGGUAUCUCGAAGCUGUAAGAGAUCAUCAAGUCUUGACUUCUAUGUUAAAAAAGAAAGAAAACUGAUGACCCAUAUUUAAACUGAGACACAUGACAUUUCUGCUCUACUCAGCACUCUUCACUCAUCUAACAAAAAUUCAUUAUGGCUUCUUAUGUUCCAGGCACUGGGCUAGGUGUUUAAGGAAGACAGAGGGAGGAAAUAAAAAUUUUUAUAAAACAGUCUUUGUCCUCAAGCAGCUCACAGGGCAGAGAGACCCUGACAGAGUAGAGACUUCAUGAAGAGUGGGGAUGGGAAGGGCAUUCUCUCCACACGCAUCCCCGUCCCUCAGAGAUUUCCUCCUCAGAACGCUACCUCUUACUGCUUUCCUGUCUCACUCUUUCCAGCUCUCAGUUUAGAAGGUGUUUCCUCAGAGCACCCUUGCUGACCUCUCAAGUCUGGUGAAAGGCCCUUCUCACUGGUGCCUGGAUGCCCUGUGUACUCCUGUCAUGCACACAACACAGCAUAGUAAAAUGCCUGGUGUAUGUGUUUGUCUUUUCAAUACUUUGAGCUCUGCUCAUUGGCAAAUCUCAGGACAUAGCACAAGAUGUGGCCCCUAAAUGUUAACUGAAUGAAUGAAUGGAAUCACUGGUAUCUCUUUAGCUUGAAGAAUAGAAAGUCCUUGUAGGACAAAGAAGAUUGGGAGAAAUGUGAAGUCUGGUGUGAACUCUGUCAGAAGGCAGAACUGAACCAAUGCAUGGACUUAGAAGAGAGAGACUUCGGUUUCACAUCAGGAAUGAUGUCAUAGUCAGAACUCACCACUCACAUAAUAGGCUAGAUGAGGGAGGAGGGAGUCUUUCAUUGCAGGAGUUUUAAAGGUGAAUACAAGAAAUGGGAGGCACUUGGCCUGGUGUGGUGGCUCAGGCCUGUUAAUCCCAGCGCUUUGGGAGGCUGAGGUGGGUGGAUCACAAGGUCAGGAGUCAAGACCAGCCUGGUCAAGAUGGUGAAACCUGUCUCUACUGAAAUACAAAAAUUAGCCGGGUGCGGUGGCGAGCACCUAUAAUCCCAGCUACUUGGGAGGCUGAGGCAGAAGAAUCACUUGAACCGGGAAGGCAGGGGUUGCAGCGAGCCAAGUUUGAGCCACUGCACUCUAGCCUGGGCGACAGAGCAAGACUCCAUCU